GCAGUUCUCACUGGACCUGGGGAGGUGUUCCAAUGAGGGCAACAGUACAGCAUCUGGUCUGGAUGGCAAAUACUGUUCCUCUGCCUCAUCCUCCUCCAAGACACUUCGAAUGAGAAACUGGAAUGAAGGAGUCUCUCUUAGAACACUGAGUGGACCGCGAACGUAUCGACCAUAUAGCAGUUCAAAUGGGGAGAAUCCUGUUGAUGACUGCGGAACCUCUCGAUAUGCGAAAAGCAGGUUUAUCCUUACCAGAGGAUAGGUGACCUCUUCACCGUGAACACACCUCAGAACUACGCUCUGCCCCGACUCAACCACUUGGCCCUCCAGACACUCUCGUCUCAC